AUUGAACGCUGGCGGCAUGCCUUACACAUGCAAGUCGAACGGCAGCACGGGGCAACCUGGUGGCGAGUGGCGAACGGGUGAGUAAUGCAUCGGAACGUGCCAUUGAGUGGGGGAUAACGUAGCGAAAGUUGCGCUAAUACCGCAUAUUCUGUGAGCAGGAAAGCAGGGGGACCGCAAGGCCUUGCGCUCUUUGAGCGGCCGAUGUCAGAUUAGCUAGUUGGUGAGGUAACGGCUUACCAAGGCGACGAUCUGUAGCGGGUCUGAGAGGAUGAUCCGCCACACUGGAACUGAGACACGGUCCAGACUCCUACGGGAGGCAGCAGUGGGGAAUUUUGGACAAUGGGGGCAACCCUGAUCCAGCCAUGCCGCGUGAGUGAAGAAGGCCUUC
rnacentral:rRNA from 1 species